GGGGACGUCUUGCUUUGACGUAUACCAGCUCUUUAACAUCUGCAUACCGACUUUGACUAAGGAAGUCGUAAAACAGAGUCAAAAAACAACUGUCAACACUUUGAAGACAGCAGCUAAGAACGUUGUCGCCUUUCUCUUCGGAGAUGGCGUCGGCACUUACGCUCCUAGUUUCGCUUUAGCUUAACUGGCAUUCACGUCCUACUCGCUUAUGGGGAAGAUGUGGGUGGAAACACACAUAAGCCGUAAGUUGGAUCCGGUCAAUCCAACCCAUAUCAACGACCACCCUCGUGUUACUCUUGGUCUGAUAAUUACCUAAGUAGCUAGAGGUAAAAACCAAAAUUUAUCUAUGUAUGUAGAUGGUGUUACAGGCGGCAUGCGGACGAGGGCUCACUGCCCUCCGUCUCCACUC
rnacentral:tmRNA from 5 species